rnacentral:rRNA from 1 species
GAUGAACGCUGGCGGCGUGCCUAAUACAUGCAAGUCGAGCGAACGGACGAGAAGCUUGCUUCUCUGAUGUUAGCGGCGGACGGGUGAGUAACACGUGGAUAACCUACCUAUAAGACUGGGAUAACUUCGGGAAACCGGAGCUAAUACCGGAUAAUAUUUUGAACCGCAUGGUUCAAAAGUGAAAGACGGUCUUGCUGUCACUUAUAGAUGGAUCCGCGCUGCAUUAGCUAGUUGGUAAGGUAACGCCUUACCAAGGCAACGAUGCAUAGCCGACCUGAGAGGGUGAUCGGCCACACUGGAACUGAGACACGGUCCAGACUCCUACGGGAGGCAGCAGUAGGGAAUCUUCCGCAAUGGGCGAAAGCCUGACGGAGCAACGCCGCGUGAGUGAUGAAGGUCUUCGGAUCGUAAAACUCUGUUAUUAGGGAAGAACAUAUGUGUAAGUAACUGUGCACAUCUUGACGGUACCUAAUCAGAAAGCCACGGCUAACUACGUG